rnacentral:rRNA from 1 species
GAUGAACGCUAGCAGGAGGCUUAAUACAUGCAAGUCGAGCGGGAUCCAUCCUUCGGGGUGGUGAGAGCGGCGCACGGGUGAGUAACGCGUACACGACCUACCUCUGACAAGGGGAUAGCCCUGGGAAACUGGGAUUAAUACCCUAUAUGAUUCAGAAUAAUAAAGGUUUUGAAUGAAAGAUCCGUCGGUCAGAGAUGGGUGUGCGUCUGAUUAGCUAGUUGGUAGGGUAACGGCCUACCAAGGCGAUGAUCAGUAGGGGGCGUGAGAGCGUGGUCCCCCACACGGGUACUGAGACACGGACCCGACUCCUACGGGAGGCAGCAGUAAGGAAUAUUGGUCAAUGGGCGCAAGCCUGAACCAGCCAUCCUGCGUGCAGGAAGACGGCCCUAUGGGUUGUAAACUGCUUUUGUCAGGGAAUAAACCUCUGGAUUUAUCCGGAGCUGAAGGUACCUGAAGAAUAAGCACCGGCUAACUCCGUGCCAGCAGCCGCGGUAAUACGGAGGGUGCGAGCGUUAUCCGGAAUUACUGGGUUUAAAGGGUGCGUAGGCGGCUAUGUAAGUCAGGAGUGAAAGUUUGCAGCUUAACUGUAAAAUUUGCUUUUUGGAUACUGCAUGGCUAGAAUCAGGAUGAGGUUAGCGGAAUGUGGCAUGU